CGCCAACCCGCGAGGGUGCGCCAAUCUCGAAAAACCGUCUCAGUUCGGAUUGCACUCUGCAACUCGGGUGCAUGAAGUUGGAAUCGCUAGUAAUCGUGGAUCAGCACGCCACGGUGAAUACGUUCCCGGGCCUUGUACACACCGCCCGUCACACCAUGGGAGUUGGUUCUACCCGAAGGCGCUUCGCUGACCGGCAACGGGGGCAGGCGACCACGGUAGGGUCAGCGACUGGGGUGAAGUCGUAACAAGGUAGCCGUAGGGGAACCUGCGGCUGGAUCACCUCCUUU
rnacentral:rRNA from 1 species